CUACGACGACUUAAACACAUCACACGCGACUCAACGUCCAGACGAAAAAGCCACCUCCAGCCGCUUCACUCGACGCCCGACAUAGUCACGCGAAAGCACGCUCGACGCCCGACGAAGCGACGCCUGCUCCAAUCUAAGUCGAAAGAAUUGACGCCAAAGCAAAUCUAGCCUGAAUCAUCAGAUUUGGUAAUUGUUAUUUCACAAGCUUACUUUUGAUGGAUAGAAUCUUCAUAAAUACUAUAUCAAUUGAUAAAUUGUUCCCUGUUAGUUUUGAAUAUAUAAGAAUAUGGCAUACAAGAAGUUGAGCGACUUGACUACAAGCGGACAGAAUUGGAAUAUUCAAGUGAAAGUAAUGAGAAUGUGGGAUUCAGUGAAUCCUACGACCGAUGAGCUUAUUAGCCUAGAUAUGAUACUGAUGGAUGAGCAGGUCCGUUUUCUAAUAUAUUAAAUUAGAAUUUUUCUGUCAGAUGAAGAAACUUACUAACCCUAUUUGAUUCUUUUAACAGGGUGAAACAAUCCAUGCUACUAUCUGGAAGAAUCUUAUAGACACUUUUAGAUCAAAGAUCAAUGAAAAGUCUAUUUAUGCAUUCAGCAAUUUUAAGGUCGUGGAAUCCACAAAAUAUAGGCCAGUGAGCAAUGAAAUUAAAAUAUAUUUUGCAUACAAUACAAAGGUAAACGAAAUAAAAGGAUCUUCGGAAGUUUUCCCGGAAUAUUGCUUCGAGUUUGCUACCAUGGACACACUAGAAGAAAGGGCGGAAAAAGAUACACAAUGCUCAGGUAUGUUUAUGGAUGUAAUUACGACCUCCAAAUAAUGGAUAUUUCUAAUUUUUAUAUCACUAUAAUCUCCAAAUAUGCAGAUAUCAUUGGACUACUAACUCAAAUGAAGCCAGUGGAGACAAGAAUAACAAAAAGGAACCCACAACCUUCAUAUAUCCGCGAGAUUGAAAUCCUAAUGCCAAAGUAAGUGCAUAUGCAUGUCUCAAAUUUAACUAAACCUCCCCCAUGUGGUUAGCAUUAACUUCUUAGAUUAUAUUCUUUAGGGGUGAUAAAAUCAGAAUCACAUUGUGGGGAAAGGUUGCUUAUUUUUUGAUCAAGGAUGUAAUCGGCAGCCAAACUGUCCUUAUUAUCACAUCAACGAUGGUGCAGAGAUUCAAUGGUAAGUGCAUAAAUCUUACAUGCUAUUCUUAUCAGUUACAAAUUCUAACUGAAUGAUUAAAUAGGUUUGUGCCUAAAGUCAACGAGUGCCACAAGGAUAUAUAUAGAUCUGGAUAUACCAGAAACACAAGAACUUCUUGAUAGGUAUGAAACACCACCGAUUUAUAUUUUUUCACUCAUAAUUACUAAGUCAGGUUGAUUAAAGGUUGUAUAUUCUUAUUUACUUCAUACAUGUGCAGGAACUCAGCCGAAGAAACCUUACCAAAGAUGGGCAGUAUAGAUAGACGUAAUCAAGGAACACUAGAAGAACAGAUGUUUUAUAGGAGGAGAACAUUAGAAGAACUUACUGCAAUGAGGCAUGGAAACCAGCCAGACCAGGUAACGCAUCAAAAUUCCAAUAAAUGAUAUCAUCAAUCUCCGUGAUACGUGAUAAGAC
rnacentral:lncRNA from 1 species